ACAGGCUUAACACAUGCAAGUCGAGGGGCAGCAUUUUAGUUUGCUUGCAAACUGAAGAUGGCGACCGGCGCACGGGUGAGUAACACGUAUCCAACCUGCCGAUAACUCCGGAAUAGCCUUUCGAAAGAAAGAUUAAUACCGGAUAGCAUACGAAUAUCGCAUGAUAUUUUUAUUAAAGAAUUUCGGUUAUCGAUGGGGAUGCGUUCCAUUAGUUUGUUGGCGGGGUAACGGCCCACCAAGACUACGAUGGAUAGGGGUUCUGAGAGGAAGGUCCCCCACAUUGGAACUGAGACACGGUCCAAACUCCUACGGGAGGCAGCAGUGAGGAAUAUUGGUCAAUGGGCGAGAGCCUGAACCAGCCAAGUAGCGUGAAGGAUGAAGGCUCUAUGGGUCGUAAACUUCUUUUAUAUGGGAAUAAAGUUUUCCACGUGUGGAAUUUUGUAUGUACCAUAUGAAUAAGGAUCGGCUAACUCCGUGCCAGCAGCCGCGGUAAUACGGAGGAUCCGAGCGUUAUCCGGAUUUAUUGGGUUUAAAGGGAGCGUAGGUGGAUUGUUAAGUCAGUUGUGAAAGUUUGCGGCUCAACCGUAAAAUUGCAGUUGAAACUGGCAGUCUUGAGUACAGUAGAGGUGGGCGGAAUUCGUGGUGUAGCGGUGAAAUGCUUAGAUAUCACGAAGAACUCCGAUUGCGAAGGCAGCUCACUAGACUGUCACUGACACUGAUGCUCGAAAGUGUGGGUAUCAAACAGGAUUAGAUACCCUGGUAGUCCACACAGUAAACGAUGAAUACUCGCUGUUUGCGAUAUACAGUAAGCGGCCAAGCGAAAGCAUUAAGUAUUCCACCUGGGGAGUACGCCGGCAACGGUGAAACUCAAAGGAAUUGACGGGGGCCCGCACAAGCGGAGGAACAUGUGGUUUAAUUCGAUGAUACGCGAGGAACCUUACCCGGGCUUAAAUUGCAACAGAAUAUAUUGGAAACAGUAUAGCCGUAAGGCUGUUGUGAAGGUGCUGCAUGGUUGUCGUCAGCUCGUGCCGUGAGGUGUCGGCUUAAGUGCCAUAACGAGCGCAACCCUUAUCUUUAGUUACUAACAGGUCAUGCUGAGGACUCUAGAGAGACUGCCGUCGUAAGAUGUGAGGAAGGUGGGGAUGACGUCAAAUCAGCACGGCCCUUACGUCCGGGGCUACACACGUGUUACAAUGGGGGGUACAGAAGGCGGCUACCUGGUGACAGGAUGCUAAUCCCAAAAACCUCUCUCAGUUCGGAUCGAAGUCUGCAACCCGACUUCGUGAAGCUGGAUUCGCUAGUAAUCGCGCAUCAGCCAUGGCGCGGUGAAUACGUUCCCGGGCCUUGUACACACCGCCCGUCAAGCCAUGAAAGCCGGGGGUACCUGAAGUACGUAACCGCAAGGAGCGUCCUAGGGUAAAACUGGUAAUUGGGGCUAAGUCAU
rnacentral:rRNA from 1 species